AACGAACGCUGGCGGCAGGCUUAACACAUGCAAGUCGAGCGCCCCGCAAGGGGAGCGGCAGACGGGUGAGUAACGCGUGGGAAUCUACCGUACCCUACGGAAUAGCUCCGGGAAACUGGAAUUAAUACCGUAUACGCCCUACGGGGGAAAGAUUUAUCGGGGUAUGAUGAGCCCGCGUUGGAUUAGCUAGUUGGUGGGGUAAAGGCCUACCAAGGCGACGAUCCAUAGCUGGUCUGAGAGGAUGAUCAGCCACAUGGGGACUGAGACACGGCCCAAACUCCUACGGGAGGCAGCAGUGGGGAAUAUUGGACAAUGGGCGCAAGCCUGAUCCAGCCAUGCCGCGUGAGUGAUGAAGGUCUUAGGAUUGUAAGGCUCUUUCACCGAUGAAGAUAAUGACGGUAGUCGGAGAAGAAGCCCCGGCUAACUUCGUGCCAGCAGCCGCAGUAA
rnacentral:rRNA from 1 species